rnacentral:lncRNA from 1 species
CGGGCGGCGGGGCGCGGGGAGACCAGGGCGGGCCACCCUUCCCCGCCCCGCCCCGCGCCCCGCCCACGGGACCCGGACCGCGCCCUCAACCCCAGGCCCCGCGGCCACCCUGGACAGCUCCUGACUGACCGACCUGAGAGACACAGAGACAGAGACAGAGACAGAGGCAGAGACAGAGAGAUUGAGAGGAUCCGAGACACGGACCCAGACAGACACCCCCCGGGACAGACACACAGACGCUCACGCUGACACAGAGAGGCCCUGCCCAAGAGGCAGCUUCCCCACAGGAGGGCGGUGGUGCUUGAGCUGGGCCCGGGCAAGGAGGCGGGGGCCCUGGGGCUGGCGAUCACCCCUGGGGCCCUGGGACGUGCAGACAGGGUCUCAGGAGUGCAGCGCUCCUGGGAUCCCUGUCCCGCGACCCGGACGCCCAGGAGCCACGGACAGGCAGCCGGGCUCGGGUCGCUCUCGCUCUCGCUCUCGCUCUCGCUCUCGCUCUCGCUCUCGCUCUGUGUGUGCGCGUUUUUGUGUGCGCGUGCGUGUUUGUGUGUGUUUGUGUGUUUCUUUCCUUCUCUCUUCGCCUCUUCGUUCUGGCUCUUUUCCUCUUUCUGCGGGGCGCCCCCGGACUUCCUGAGUUGACAGAACGAGCAGCCAGAAAAGUCAGGACACGGAGAACUUCGCCCGAGAAACCAACGCAAUCUACCAGACGUACAGAACCCCCUCCCCGACGACCACAGCGUCCACAGUCUGCUCGAGCGCAGGUAGGGACAUUACCCAGGGUCUCCCACAGCUUAGCUCACCCGUUAAGUCUCCUUUGUUUUACCAAGAUGGCUAGCACGCCGAGGAUGGACGGAUGAGCGCCACGGUGUGAUUACGGGGAGGGAAACGCACGUCGGAACACCCGUUGGUGCCUCCCGACGUCACCGGUAUCCCCGUCCCGAGACCUCUGGGCUUCAGGGCUCUGGGCCGCAGCCCUCUCCCGUCGUCUAUCAGGGAUCCAGUGCACGAUGUCUGCACUGCCCAUCUCAAGAGUUUGGGCCCUGUGGGCGUUCUUGGAUCCCGUUGGAAAGGGGACCUCGGGACGCGAGGGAGAGGAAAGGGCCGGGGGGCCGGGGUGGGGGGCGGGGGGCGGGCUGGGGGGAAAGAGAGCGACGCCAUCAACGCAUGUCUGACCAGGACCUCGGCUGUGCCAGGCUCUCCAUUUCUCACGGCACCGCGUCUCGUCUUCGGGGACGCCGCCUCUCGUCGG